rnacentral:misc_RNA from 1 species
AAGUCGUAACAAGGUUUCCGUAGGUGAACCUGCGGAAGGAUCAUUAGCGAAGUUCGGAAUGCCGGUUCGGUGCUGCAGCUGCCCAGCGAUGGGAUGUGCUCGUCCGGGCCGGUGUCCCUUCUCUAUUCCACCCCACUGUGAACCAAGCGUGCGAGCAGAAGAGAGAUCGGAAGCUCGCAUGCACACUUUAACAUAUCCCUUAUGAAGUAUCUGAAUGUACCUUGCGUUAACUCGCACAAAUACAACUUUCAACAACGGAUCUCUUGGCUCUC